CUUGACCUUGUCGAAGUCGGAGUUAACGCACCUCAGGAAAUGAUCCGAGGGAUUUCUCAGAGGCGGGCAUGGGAACCCAACUUCAGCGAAGAACUGCGCGUGCGAGGAAACAAGUGCAGCAGGAAGGAAGUUACUGUGAAAAACGGAUACUGGACCGUGGAGGAAUUGAUUACCUCACAUGCUUGCGCUGCCUGUCCGAAGUAGACGUUUUUGCCCCCGGAGAGCAGGAAGAGCAUGUCGAAGAGCUCGAAGACCUCGCUGCUGGGC